GACAGAUCUGAUGCUCUGCACACUCAACAUUUUAUUAUCAGAAGGCAGCACCAAAACACUCUGGUCCAGCAGACCCAGUGGCUUAAGCUGUAGCUCCACAGGGCUCCUGGACAAUGGCAGCCACAGCAACACCAGGGCCCACUGCUGGAUCAUAAAACUGUUUGAUUUCCUAAUCCCUGGAGAGAGAGACUAAAAGGACCUGAGCCCUAGGACCAUGCCUCAGGACUACCUGGCAUGAUGACUCCUUGCUGUCCCCAGUCCACCUGGCCGUGCUGCUGCUCCAGUUUCAACUGUUCUGCCUGCGGCUAUGGAACCCUGACCUGUUCACCGGACGUGCUUGUUGCACCCUCGACAACUACUAUGAUUAUUAUUAUUUGACCAUGCUGGUCAUUUCUGAACAUUUUAACAUCUUGACCAUGUUCUGUUAUAAUAUCCACCCGGCACAGCCAGAAGAGGACUGGCCACCCCUCAUAGCCUGGUUCCUCUCUAGGUUUCGUCCUAGGUUUUUGGCCUUUCUAGGGAGUUUUUCCUAGGGAGUUUUUCCUAGCCACCGUGCUUCUUUCACAUGCAUUGCUUGCUGUUUGGGGUUUUAGGCUGGGUUUCUGUACAGCACUUUGAGAUAUCAGCUGAUGUACGAAGGGCUAUAUAAAUACAUUUGAUUUGAUUUGAUUUGAAUGGCUGGCACUUUUAUAAUAGGGCGAAAUCGUGCCCGAUUGCAGUUCCAAGGGCUUCCACUAGAUAUCAACAGUCUUUAGAAAGAGUUUCAGGCUGGUUUUUGGAAAAAUGAGCCAGAAAUUGUAGUUUUUCUAGGUGGCUGCCAUUUUGGCUGUAGUGUUUCCAAGCGCGUGAAUGAGAGCGCAUUCUUUGGUAUUUGUCUCCGGUAAAGAGAAUAACGAUUCUCCGUCUUAAAUUGUAUCAUUUAUUUGCAUAUUAGGGUACAUAUUGUAUGAUUAUAAACGUUGAUUGACUUGUUUGGAUAAGUUUAUUAGUAACGUUUGGGAUUCAUUUUGUAUGCAUUUUGAAGGAGGAAAACCGAGAGGAUUAUUGACUGAAGCGAACCAGCUAAACUGAGUUUUUAUGGAUAUAAAGAAGGACAUUAUCGAACAAAAGGACCAUUUGUAAUGUAACUGGGACCUUUUGGAGUGCCAACAGAAGAAGAUCUUCAAAGGUAAGGCAUAUAUUAUAUCGCUAUUUCUGACUUUCGUGUCGCAACUCCCUGGUUGAAAAUUAUUUGUUAUGCAUUUGUGUGCUGGGCGCUGUCCUCAGAUAAUCGCAUGGUUUGCUUUUUCCGUAAAGCCUUUUUGAAAUCUGACACGGCGGCUGGAUUAACAACAAGUUAAGCUUUAUUUUGAUGUAUUGCACUUGUGAUUUCUUGAAAGUUUAAUAUUUAUAGUAAUUUAAUUUGAAUUUGGCUCUCUGCAAUUUCACCGGAAAUUGUCGAAAUGGGACUUUAGUGUCCCACUAAUCCGCAAGAAGUUAACAAGUCUGACGAGCCCGACACGAACGAUAUACUGCUUUCUCGGGAACAAGCCCAGAUCACCGUGAUUUGCGUGAAGAAGAGGUGGAGAAAAAGGGGCCGGAGGGCAGGCUGUCUUCUGAGAAUUCGUAGGCAAUCGAAUAAACCCCCACAUCCUUCCUUUCUGCUAGCGAACGUGCAAUCUUUGGACAAUAAAAUAGAUGACCUACGUGGAAACAACCAACGAGACAUUCAAAACUGUAAUAUCUUAUGCCUCACGGAGUCGUGGCUGAACGACGACAUUAUCAAAAUACAACUGGUUGGUUAUAUGCUGUACCGAUUGGAUAGAGCAGCGGCGUCUGGUAAGACAAGGGGCGGUG
rnacentral:lncRNA from 1 species